CAAAAAGGAUUAAAUUGGAACAAACAUUGUGAUUUAUAUGAAUAGUAAAUAUAUAUGUAAUUAACUUAAUGGAUGCCUGAUGGGACUUUACAGCCCUUUUUCCCUUAACCACUUACAGACCUAAAAGAAAAGAUGUCUACAAACAUCAGUUAACUGAUAAGUCAAAAUUUCUUCAGCUUMUCUAUUUUGGUUUGUUUUAAUAAAUAGAAACAUGAAGACCUUCAGAAUCCUAUCAGMUCGAGUCUGGAAAUUUUGGGGUUGGUCCACCCUUAACCACGUUGGUCCACCCUUAACUCCACCAAAAAAAGUUAAAAUCUUUGUGAUGGCAGGGCUUUGUGUGUGAACACAAUCUACCCAGAGUUCCUCAAGGCUCUGGAUGUUUCUGGUCUGUCUUGGUUGACAUUACUUUGCAACAUUGCAUGGACAUUGGGGCCAGUGCCACUGAACUGGCAGACAUAGAUGGUGGUACCCCCUUUUUUUUUAAUAAAAAUGUAUUUUUACAGGAGCACAACACUUUUCAGCUUCCCUGGUGAGGUCUAUUYAGGGGUUCUAGAGAAGAAAGUAUGGUCAAUGGUGAAUCUCAGAUUCAGGAGAAACAACUUACUAUGGCUGUGUCUCAAUUAGUGGGUUGCAGCCGACGUAGACUGCGGCCGACGUUGGCCGUAGGCUGCUCCUGUCGGCUGCAUAAACGGCUGUGAAAUGGGACAGUCUACCCCACAGAAGACAGCUCGGGCUUUUUCUUCAACGUCGCAGAACUUUCAUGUAUUUUAGGCUGACAGCAGACUGCAACAAGAUAAGACCACAGUACUGCAGAAGAUGAAAAGCAGGUUUAGAGUCAUCUUCCUGCAAACACUGGAGGUACACCACACCUUCACCCCUGAUGUAAGACCUUAUAAUAUAAAGUAACAAAAUUGUUUUAUCAGAGUUAUGACAGUUGUUUACAGUGACAAAUUGUACAUUUUCAGAUCAUAACAGAAUGUGCAGUCCUCCACAACAUCUGCCUUUGGGCUGGUGACAUCAUGGCCCCGGAGGACGAGCCUGAGGAUGAGGCUGACCAGGAAGCUGCAGGUGGGGCUGUCUGGAGGAACCAGAUAGCAGCAGAUGUUUCUGCACCAGGGCAUCAGGACUAUUGUUAAGUGACAUGGCAGCCGUCGAGUCUGCCAGCCCCGCAAGCCUGGCUCGUGGGCAAAGCGGUGGACAGUGGACCGAUGGCGUGUCAACAGCUCUGCAGUCCACCCAGAUGAUGUCCUGCUGAGGAGGGAAACCAGGGUCUUUGAUCUUUGGUGGCAGCCCAUCUGAUUUAUCAGCGCUAUCAUGGACUCUCUGCUCAGUACUGUUUAAUAGUUCAAUAAUAUUGUAAAUAGUUAUUUGUUUUUGUUCUGUUGAAACUGUUUUAUGUAGUAUUUUUUUUACAAAAUAAUAAAAUGAAUUGUAAAUUGUUCAACACCUUUUUUCAAUAGUUUCUCAAUGACCACUUCAGUUACAUUUUGUUAUAAUUUCUUUAUUUGAACUUAUUAUACAAAACAACAAACAAUAAUAUUAACAUAACAAAUCAACAUUUUACAUGCCCUGGCCUGUCUUCAGGAAUAGAAACAAUUAGGACAUGGGGGUUAUUUAAAUGCCUCUGUCCCAACACCUCAUCCAUGAGGAUAAGCCAGGACCAAGUUUCUGCAGUGGGUUUGCUGCCAGCUCCCUCACUUGACCCUGGAUACACCUGACCUGGAUACUGCAAUCCUAAAACACAUGAUUCAUGACAGCAAUAAAUAUGAGUUAAGGUUUUUUGUUGAAAUGGGAUAGUUUGGUACCAGUUACAAAAAUUAUUGAAAUCUUAUUUCCUUUUAUUUUAUUUUUUUGUUUUGUUU